UUAAAGAGGUGCGUGUGUCCCCGCGAAGGCGGGGACCCAUCUCCCGCCGGUUCGAAAUCGCGCCGACCGGAGAUGGACCCCCGCCUUCGCGGGGGCACACUCGUCGGGUUUGA
rnacentral:sRNA from 1 species